rnacentral:tRNA from 1 species
GGGUAUGUAGCUCAGUGGUACAGCACCUGCUUGGCAAGCAUGGGGUCUUAAAUUCCAUUCCCA